rnacentral:rRNA from 1 species
UGGGGAAUAUUGGACAAUGGGCGAAAGCCUGAUCCAGCCAUGCCGCGUGUGUGAAGAAGGCCUUUUGGUUGUAAAGCACUUUAAGCGAGGAGGAGGCUACUUAGAUUAAUACUCUAGGAUAGUGGACGUUACUCGCAGAAUAAGCACCGGCUAACUCUGUGCCAGCAGCCGCGGUAAUACAGAGGGUGCGAGCGUUAAUCGGAUUUACUGGGCGUAAAGCGUGCGUAGGCGGCUUCUUAAGUCGGAUGUGAAAUCCCUGAGCUUAACUUAGGAAUUGCAUUCGAUACUGGGAAGCUAGAGUAUGGGAGAGGAUGAUAGAAUUCCAGGUGUAGCGGUGAAAUGCGUAGAGAUCUGAAGGAAUACCGAUGGCGAAGGCAGCCAUCUGGCCUAAUACUGACGCUGAGGUACGAAAGCAUGGGGAGCAAACAGG